GACGUAGGGUGCGAGCGUUGUCCGGAUUUAUUGGGCGUAAAGAGCUCGUAGGCGGUCUGUCGCGUCUGUUGUGAAAACUCGAGGCUCAACCUCGGGCUUGCAGUGGAUACGGGCAGACUAGAGUGCGGUAGGGGAGACUGGAAUUCCUGGUGUAGCGGUGGAAUGACGCAGAUAUCAGGAGGGAACACCGAUGGCGAAGGCGGCUCUCUGGGGACGGUACUGGACGCUGAGACGCGAAAGCGUGGGGAGCGAACAGG
rnacentral:rRNA from 1 species